AACCAGUAAUUUAUGCCAAACAAUACAACAUACAACAUCGGGUUCUCAGUCAUUCAACCCAUAAUCAAUAAAACAGUGAUAUGUGCACACGAAACUAUGAAAUGAAAACAAAAGACCUCAUACUGCAUUUAAAAUCGUAAAAUAGGUCAAACAACAGCUAACGGACAAACACACCAGACUCGGGCUCCAUUAGCGACCUUAAACAAUUUCACACAUCUGUUGAUUCAUGAAAUACCGUUUUAUCAUUUAUUGAACUUUAAUACCGUGAUAGGAAGUAG
rnacentral:lncRNA from 1 species